rnacentral:rRNA from 1 species
UACGUAGGGUGCGAGCGUUAAUCGGAAUUACUGGGCGUAAAGCGUGCGCAGGCGGUGAUGUAAGACAGAUGUGAAAUCCCCGGGCUUAACCUGGGAACUGCAUUUGUGACUGCAUCGCUGGAGUGCGGCAGAGGGGGAUGGAAUUCCGCGUGUAGCAGUGAAAUGCGUAGAGAUGUGGAGGAAUACCGAUGGCGAAGGCAGCCCCCUGGGCCAAUACUGACGCUCAUGCACGAAAGCGUGGGGAGCAAACAGG